CAUCUAAUCAUGAUCGGACUUAGGUAGAAGUAGCUCAAUAAAAAUUAAGGAUGACCAAAUCUAUCAGUAUCCGACAAGGGCUAAGGUAGAAGUUGGCAAUGUUGCAUGAUGGCCAUGGAUCAGAUCCCCUUUUACCAGGACCGAUCAAGGUCAUUGAGGAGAGGCCCUUCUCUAGGAUCCAAGUGGGACUACCGAGCAUUUCGGUCAAUCCAAGUAAUUUCAUCUAAUCAUGAUCGGACUUAGGUAGAAGUAGCACAAUAAAAUUAAGGAUGACCAAAUCUAUCAGUAUCCGACAAGGGCCAAGGUGGAAGUUGGCAAUGUUGCCUAAUGGCCAUGGAUCAGGACCCCUUUUAUCAGGACCGAUCAAGGUCAUUGAGGAGAGGCCCUUCUCUAGGAUCCAACAAAACUCUAAAGAGACAAUGGAGAGAGAGAAAACAUUUAGAAAGAGAAAUAAGAGAGUGUGUGGGGAAGAGAGAAAUGAGAGAGAACAAAAUCUCCAUAUCUCCAAUGAAGGAAGGGAAAAGGUCAUGGGGCUGACUUUCGACCGAAGAGCUAAUUGUCAAACACCAUGAAUAGUGGCCAACAAUAGCAGAUGACCAAUGGUAAAGAAAUAAACCAGAAAAGGGUCAACUG
rnacentral:lncRNA from 1 species